ensembl:lncRNA
CUGAGCUUUCUUUCUCACUGAACUGCGUCAUCAUUUUUUAAACAGAAUGCUAGAGGGCUGACUUUGAGUCUGACAGGCCCUGACCCAGGAAAUGAGCCCUGCUUGUGGGCAUCCCCUUCCUCAAGCCAGCCUACUCACCCCAAGCCCAGCUGCUGCUGCCCCAGGCGAGGGGAGGAUGCAGGACACAUGUGCAUUGUCUGGCCUUGGCAGCCCUCAGUCACUCAGAGAUAAAAAGGCGCAGGCAAGGGGAGGCCCUCAGCCCCACCUGGUCACUGCUUUUUGGACUCAUUCACCAAAAAAUCCAGGCAUGGGCUGCCCAUGGCCCAUGAGAGAUCUCCCCAGGAUGACCUGUGAGUACUGAAAAACAGAGAAAAGGUGUGUGCAGUUGCACCAGCUCACCAGCUUCAGUGCUGUCCCUUCCCAUCUUGCAGCUCAGGAAAUGUCCUCGAGGGAAGUUUAGCCCCGUGUACUUCGGAUUAGUUCCUGUCUCCUAAUUCAGCAGGAUGCCUGUGAACUAACCUUACUCGGAAGUCUCGCUUUGGUCAGCCAUGGUUCUAGAUUCUGGCAGCCAAAGGUCUGGGCAGGAGCUAGAUGCAGAACUGGGUGUGGCUGUUGCCACUGCUGGUCAGAUGGAGCAGUGCAGGUAUUCUGCAGAGAAGACAGCUACGUACCCACCUCCUGCCGGGCCAAAUCUCCAGCCCCCACUACGUGGCACUCCUGUUGGCCCACAACACAAAAGGUCAUGAAACAGGAAUGCAGAUGCAAAGCAGCUGGCCACGCCCUGGCAGCUCUGUACCACUCUGCCGGAAGUGGCCUGGGUGUGACAGUCAGAAGCAUCUCCUUGUUGUUCUAGACAGUUUAUCUCAGCAUCCCCUGACAUAGAAAAGGGAUUAAAAGUUUCUGUAAUACAGCUUCUACCAGGUGGCCCUCUCUGGAGUGAAGCUUUUCUAAACUAGCAGAAGGAAGUUCAUCUGACAAAAAAAGUGAAACGGUACUUCUUAUAUCGUCACCGAGCUGUCCUGCCAACAAAUUCACCUGACUGUACAGAAACACGUCUCUCCAGAAGUUUCUGUGACUGCUGCAGCCCCCCUGCCAUCGUCAGGGAAAUGUGUGAGAGAAACCAGCCCUUUCUGUUGUCACAGACACAUGCGCACCAUGCACAGAUGCUAGAAGGGGCCUGCAAGCUCUGCACAGGAGGAGGAAGUGGACCGCCGCAUGCUGCUCUGCUGCUCUAAGGGCGUAUUUUUGCUUUUUCAGCAACUGUGAGCAUAACUUGAAACUCGGUCUGAUUUUUCAGUGACUUCACACCCAUUUUUCAAUGACCACCCAUCCUGGGUUGCUCUGCUAUAAUUGCUCCUGCCACUAUGAAGCACCAGCCCAAACUUUGCCCAGCCAAAGGCCUGUCACCAAGUUGCAGGCCACAAGCCAAGCUCUGGUUAAGGUGGGUACCUGCAGGUGAUGGGCAGACAGCACCCAUGAAUGAUGAUCAGAGCUCAUGUGGCAACUUCUGGGCCCUCAGUCACCCCUCUGAUUCACUAGGCCAACUCUCAACCCUCUCCCUGCAGUCUGUGUCCACCAGGCGUCUCCUCAGGCUAGGACACUGGCCCUCCUGAAAAAAAAAAAAAAAAAAA